GAUUAAUGCUGGCGGCGUGCCUAACACAUGCAAGUCGAGCGGCAGCGCGGGUAGUUUACUACCUGGCGGCGAGCGGCGGACGGCUGAGUAACGCGUGGGCACAUACCUCAAAGUGAGGAAUAACUGCCCGAAAGGGUGGCUAAUGCCGCAUAUGAUCUUCGGAGUAAAGGAUUUAUCCGCUUUGGGAAUGGCCUGCGUACGAUUAGAUAGUUGGUGAGGCAAAGGCUCACCAAGUCGACGAUCGUUAACUGGUCUAAGAGGACGACCAGCCACACUGGGACUGAGACACGGCCCAGACUCCUACGGGAGGCAGCAGUGGGGAAUUUUGGACAAUGGGCGCAAGCCUGAUCCAGCAAUGCCGCGUGCAGGAAGAAGGCCUUCGGGUUGUAAACUGCUUUUGUACGGAGCGAAAAGGCUCUCUCUAAUACAGGGGGUUCAUGACGGUACCGUAAGAAUAAGCACCGGCUAACUACGUGCCAGCAGCCGCCGUAA
rnacentral:rRNA from 1 species